AUACGUAGGGGGCGAGCGUUGUCCGGAAUGAUUGGGCGUAAAGGGCGCGUAGGCGGCGCGGUAAGUCUGGAGUGAAAGUCCUGCUUUCAAGGUGGGAAUUGCUUUGGAUACUGCCGCGCUUGAGUGCAGGAGAGGUUAUCGGAAUUCCCGGUGUAGCGGUGAAAUGCGUAGAGAUCGGGAGGAACACCAGUGGCGAAGGCAGGUAACUGGACUGCAACUGACGCUGAGGCGCGAAAGUGUGGGGAGCAAACAGGAUUAGAUACCCUGGUAGUCCACACUGUAAACGAUGAAUGCUAGGUGUAGGAGGUAUCGACCCCUUCUGUGCCGCAGUAAACACAGUAAGCAUUCCGCCUGGGGAGUACGGUCGCAAGAUUAAAACUCAAAGGAAUUGACGGGG
rnacentral:rRNA from 1 species